AGGACGAACGCUGGCGGCGUGCUUAACACAUGCAAGUCAAGGGGGCCCAGCAAUGGGCAACCGGCGAACGGGUGCGUAACACGUGAGCAACCUACCGAAAUGUGGGGAUAGCCGGCCUAACGGCCGAGUAAUACCGGCAUACGCUCUCGAUGAGGCAUUUCAUUGAGAGGAAACCUACGGGACAUUUCGAGGGGCUCGCGGCCUAUCAGCUAGUUGGCGAGGUAACGGCUCACCAAGGCAACGACGGGUAGCUGGUACUGACGAGG
rnacentral:rRNA from 1 species